AAUAAUAUAAAAUAAUAUAAAUAAAAAGUUUGACAAGUAAUGAAAGAAGAAAAUAUAAUCCAUGUUAAAGAGAGCACACAGUCAAUAGAAACAAAUGCAGAGAUGUUCCAGGUGUUGGAAUUAGCAGACAGGAAUUUUAAAAUAAUUAUGAUCAGCAUGUGGAAAGGGUAGAUAAUGUAUGUAAGUAGAUUGGCAACUUUAUCAAUGAAAUGCACAUGUUUUAAAAGUUAGUUGGAAAUGCUAGAAAUGAAAUACAUAACAUGGGAAAAGAAGAAUUUGUUCAAUGGGCUUAUUGACAACUGAACUGAGUGAGAAAGAAACUGGUAAACUUAAAGACUGAUCAGUGGAAAAUAUCCAAAAUGAAACACAGAGAGAGAUGUUUGAAAACAAUGAAAAUAAUGGAAGAGCAUUUCCAAGACCUGUGGGCCCAAAUCAAAUGAUCUACCAUAUGUGUUGUUGGAGUCCCAUGAGAGGAGAGAAAGAAUGAGGUAGAAGAAAUAUUUGAAGAGAUAAUAGAAGAGAAUUUUCAAAAUAAGUGAAAGACAGCAAAGAAGUGUAAUCAACCCUAAGUGGAGUAUAUAAAAAAUAUCUUCACCUAUGUACAUCAUGGUCAAAUUACUGUAAACCCAAAAUAAAAAGCAGUAUCUUAUAAUAGACAAAUAAAAGCGAUAACUAUAUGUAAGGGAACAAUGACAAGAAUAAUGGCUGUCUCAGUAUCAGAAACAGUGAAGGCUAGAAAAUAAUAGAACAAUAUCUUUAAAAUGCUAAAAGAAAAUAUUGUCAGCCCACAAUUCUAUUUCCUAUAAAGACAUCCUACAAAUAUGAAGAUAAAAUAAUUUCUAAAAGAAAAAUGAUUAAAUUUGUCUGUGGCAGAUUUAUACUACAGCAAAUACUAAAAGAAGCUCUUGGACUAAGAAGGAGCUAUACCAUGUGGAAGCCAGGAUCUACAGGAAAGGGAAUAAAGCACCAGAAAGGGAAAUAUAUGGAUAAGGAUAAAUAUUUGAAUAGCUGUCAUUGCUUGUAUUCAACAUUGUACUGUGACUUCUAGUUAGUGCAGUGAGGCCAGAAAAAGAAAUGACACACUAAAAUUAAAAAGAAGUGAAACUAUCAUUAUUCACAAAUGACGUGCUUGUGUGUAGAAAACUCCAUGUGGGCCCUGCACGGUGGCUCACGCCUGUAAUCCCAGCACUUUGGGAGGCCGAGGUGCGCAGAUCAUGAGGUCAGGAGAUCGAGACCAUCCUGGUUAACACGGUGAAACCCCGUCUCUACUAAAAAUACAAAAAAAAUUAGCCGGGUGUGGUGGCAGGCACCUGUAGUCCCAGCUACUCGGGAGGCUGAGGCAGGAGAAUGGCAUGAACCCGGGAGGCGGAGCUUGCAGUGAGCUGAGAUCGCACCACUGCACUCCAGCCUGGGCAACAGAGCCAGACUCCGUCUCAAAAAAAGAAAAAAAAAGAAAACUUCAUGUAAUCCACACACAAACAAAUAACUACUAGAACUAAUAAGUGAAUUUAGCAGUCUCUGGACACAGGGCUAAUAUUCAAAUAUCAAUUGCAUUUCUAAUUACUAACAAUGAACAACUAUAAAAUGCUAUUUAAAAUAUUGUCCACAAUAGCAUCAAAAACCCAAAAUACCUAGAAACAGGCUCUUUUGAAGUGAGUUAGAAAGUGCAAAGAAUCUAGACUAACCAAAAUAAUAUUGAUAAAGAAGAACAAAGUUGAUGGAUUUACACUAUUUGAUUUCAGGACUUAAUACAAUGUCACUGUAAUCAAGUGAAUGUGAUGUUGGCGAAAUAAUAGAUUGAUGAAGCAGAAUACAAAAUCCAGAAAUUGGCACAUACAGAUAUAUGUGAUAUAUACACACGUAUAUGAUACAUACAUACAAACAUACAUUGAUAUCUGACCAGAGUGGCAAAUUAGAUUAAUAAAGAAAAUAUUUUCUUAAAACAAAUGAUGUGGCCGGGCAUGGUGGCUCAUGCCUAUAAUCCAAGCACUUUGGGAGCCUGAGGCAGGCAGAUCACCUGAGGUCAGGAAUUCAAGGCCAGCCUGGCCAACAUGGUGAAACCCCAUCUCUACUAAAAAUACAAAAGUUAGCCAGACGCUGUGGCGGACUCCUGUAGUCCCAGCUACCUCGGAGGCUGAGGCAGGAGAAUCGCUGGAACCUGGGAGGCAGGGAUUUUGCAGUGAGCAGAGAUCUCGCCACUGCACUCCAGCCUGGGCGACAGAGUGAGCUUCCGUCUCAAAAAAACCAAAAUAAACAAUCAAACAAAAAAAACAAAUGAUGCAAGAAAGAUUGGCUAUCCAUUAGAAAACAAAAAAUGAUCUCUGAUCUUACCUCACCCAAAACACAAAAAUUACGUAGAAAUAGAUCAUAAACUUAAAUAUAAACAUUAUAAUCAAAAAGCUUUUUGAAGAAAAUAAAUAAUAUCUUUGUAACCCUAGGGUAUGCAAAAAUGUAAUAGAAUUAAAAACAUUUCACCUGUCAAAGAAUAUUUGAUUUUCAAUAAAAUUUAAUUUCUGCUCAUUAAAAGAAAGUGAACAGGCAAUCGACAGACUUUGAAAAUUCUCAUCACUUAUUUUUCAUGAAUAGGUCAUGUCCAGAAUAUAUAAAUAACUUUUACGAGUCAACAGUAAAAAGAUAAACAGCUCAGUAAAAAAUGGGCCAAAGUCUGGAAAGACACUUAGCAAAAGAAAAUUUGGGAAUAAGUUGUCCUACAUAGGAUGAGGCUAAUGAACACCUGAAAAGCUAUUCAACAUCAUAAGUCGUCAGAGAGAUGCAAUUUAGAAUCAUAAUGAGUUAGCAUUUCACACUCACUGGAAUGGCUAAGACUGACAGCACCAAAUACUGAUGAGGAUAUGGAGAAAGAUAAAUACUAUCAAGUCAGUAGAGUAAAAUAUUACAACGAUUGUGGGGAAAGGUUUGCCACAUUCUUAAAAGUUAAACAUAUUGUGUCUCAGGAAUUCCACUCCUAGGUAUUUAUCCAGGUGAUAUGAUCACAUACGUCUACACAAAGUCUUAUAUAAGACUGUUCCAAGAACAUCUGGAAACACUUAAAUAUCCAUUUCCUAGAAAAUGAGUAAGCAAAUUGUGGUAUAUUUAUACAGUUAAAUAUUACUCUGUAAUGAAAAGGAAUGAGCUAGUGAUAACAUGCAACAGUAAGAAUGAGUCUUAAAAAUAUAUAUUGGCAAAAAAAAGCCAGAUGUAAAGAAUAUAUACAGUAUAUUAUGUUCAAAGACAGGCAAAAUUGUCUAUGGCAAUGGAAAUCAGUACAGUGUGGUUUGACUGAAAAGGAGAAGGAGGAAAACUUCUGGAGUGAUUGAAAUGUUUUGUAUCUUGUUUUGGGUGGUGCUACAUCGGUGUAUACAACCAUCAACACUCACGCAGGGAACACUUAAAAUGUGUGCAUUUUAUUGUAAUUUUAAAAUUACCCGAUUCUAAAAACUGAAAAAAGAAAAAGAGAAAGAAAAAACCAAUCAUAGAAAUUUUCAGCAUUUUGACUCCAUAUAAACUGUUAUUUUGGAACACUUGGUUUUCAUCUGAUAAGUGUGUUUGAAAGCAAUGCUAUGGUAACGAGUGUAGGAGCUACCAAGAGAAUCUGUGGUAGGAGGAAAGGGUUAGGUCAGCAACACCUGUUUCUGGCACUCUUCUGACGAGACACCAGAUUGCCUACUGGCUUCUUCCAGCUUUCCCGAGCACAGGGAGAGUGGCAGCAAUACCAGGGAGCCUUAUGCUUACAAGAUGGACACCAUAUGUUUUCACUAUCGCUUCGUAGCUGUUCUCAUCUGUCCCUUUUCUUUGUCCUUUUAGUAUCUGAGGUCCAGUAACCCUGAGAAAUUUAAUAUGAGAAGACACCAUGAAUGAAAUAUUAAUAUUUUAAAAUCAAGUACAAAGAGAAGAUUGCCUGUGAGUGGUUAUUCUCUUCAGUUGUCCAAUAGCUGUUAUUUAUCAAAUUAACACCAAAACGUUCAAACUCUCUAAAAAUGAAUAGCUUUGCUUUAUAAGGAGAGUUGUGAAAACUUAUUAAGAACUCCUGCACACAUUAUUUAAAGAUACCAUUUACACGUGAGAGUAAUUAUAAAUGAAAUAUAUUAAAUGUCCGAAAGUAGCACCAUGUGGCAGAAUUUUCAGGAAAAGAAAUCGAAUUAGUACUGGAAGAAGACAUUCAAAUAAGAGAACCACAUUUUCAAGACUCCUGCCCCUGCCACGAGAACACACCCUUUCCAGUUUGCUGGAGAAAUAUAAGAGAAGUCCAGUGAAAGAGAGCUGAGUUUCCCCAAUGAUGCCAUCAAGAUGAACUAACUACAGUUAACCAGCCAGCUGAUAGCAGAUGCAUGAGUGAGCCCAGCUGAGAGCAGUGCCUACAAUAGUUCCUGGUAUGUAGAAGGUAUACAAUAAAUAUUGGCGGAGUGAAGGAACAAAUGGGAUUUGCUUGAUUCUGCUGCAGAAGACUAAGGAAAAGACAUAAAUGAAUAAAUAACUAGUAGAAUGUUAACACAAUCAGAAAAAGGACCAUUUCUUUUCAUUUGGAUGUCUCAAAUCUAUUUGUUGUUGUUGUUGUUGUUUUUCUGGCUGGGCUUGAAAUGUAGGCAUGCAGCCAGGAGGCUCCAUGCUGACUAAUGAGAUAGAGAUACCCAUUUAGCCCAGCAAUAUUCAUACAUUGUUUAUGCAUUCAUUUUUCUCUAGUGACUUUUUAAUAUAUUUUGGUGAAGAUAUUCCCAAGAUAAUGAAGAUAUGUUGAGUGGGCAUUAAAAGUGAUGAGUCUUUUUUUCCAUUAUCAAAGACAAAUACAGGUGUGUAAUGUAUGCAGAGAAUUAGAAGUAGGGAAAAAAAUGAGGGAAUCCAAAAUAAUGAAAAGUAAUUAAAGCUCUCCAAUAAUUGAAAGAAAGGCCAAACUGAAAACAUGAAUCUCCAGACUCUGCAAGGAUUUAUACUGAUGUGGGGCGUGUGGACCAAUGGCUUUCAGGAUGUGAUUCAUUUUGAAAAAAGUGUCAUUUCUAUUGCCAAGUAGAGUUCAUGGUUUAGUGAAAAUUUCAUCUUCAGUCUGAUCACAUGAGCCAAAUUCUGGCCCUAUAUAUUCUGAUGUGAGGAAUGAAGUAUUUCUAGUUUAUUUGUGAGAUUCCAAGCAUAAUAUCCAGGAGGGUUAGUCACAUUACAGCUAAGGUAAGAUUUUGUUAUAUUUGUGUUAGUCCUUAUUCUAGGCACUGAAAUUUCCUUGUAACAUUACUUGAAAAAGCAUAAGAACUAUUUAAUGAAAGAAUGCUUUGGCUCUGCCCAAAUGACCAAGAAAGACAUCAACUCACUUAUAACACAGUCUUGAUGGUCAGACCAAAAGCUACGUGAUUGUCAAUUAUUUUCAGCAGAGACUCAUAGAACAACAAAGCAGGGAAGAAUCUGAACAGGGAUUGGACUUUAAAGAACAAGUAUCAUUGAUCAAUUUAAAAAAAUGAUCAUGGGCUGGGCACAGUGGCUCACACCUAUAAUCCCAGCACUUUGGGAGGCCGAGGUGAGAGGAUUGCUUGAGUCCAGGAGAGACCAGCCUGGGCAAUAUAGUGAGACCCCAUCUCUACAGAAUUUUUUAAAAUUAGCUGAGCAUGGUGGCAGAUGCCUAUAAUUCCAGCUAAUUGGGAGAAUGAGGUAGGAGAAUCACUUGAGGUCGGGUGGUGGAGGUUGCACUGAGCUGAGAUCACUCCACUGCAUGCCAGCCUGGGAGACAGAGCAAGACCUUGUCUCAAAAAAAUAAAAUAAAAUAAAAUAAAUCAUGAUUCAGUAAAUUGAAAUAGAACACGUCUUCUAAUGCUAGCUAUAUAGUAACAAUCAGAGCAAGUAGUUUACAGUUUCUACUCAAGGGUAUUGAUGAUUAAAAUGAGUCCAGCUAUUUUAUUGGAGGAUGGGGAAUCUAGAUAGUAAGUUAAGCAGUAGUAGCUAAUGCAACAAAUACGCAGUGUAGGUCAUUCUACAUUUGUAGUCUGCUAUAUGUUGGGUUCUAUGUAUUAUACAGUAAAAUUUUACUUCAGUCUUUUUCCAAAAUUCAGGGAUUGGUCUGUUUAAUUCAGUAACUAAUGAGUUGAUGUCCAAUUCUUCUGAGUAAGUGAAUAUUCAUAGAAGUAGAGGUGAAAAAAUGGAGGCCACAGAAUAGGUGUAAAGUAGAUACACAGAUCUGCAUUGUGGCGGUUCUCGUUGAGCUGAUAUUUAGAUCAGCAGUGAGACUGCUUGGUACCAUUCCAGAAGACAACAGCCAUUUAGCUGGUCUUCUGUUGAAAAACUAUCUAAUUGAUCAUCUGGAGGAAGAGACUAAAAGCUGUGAAGUUGAGUCAGCAUGCCUUUCAAAACUUAGCAGGUGAAGUUGUCAUACUCAAGAGGAAUGUAUUUUUUAAGUUUAACAAGAUGGAUAUAAAUCAUAAUAUCACUCUCUUGAGAGAUCAUCUACAUGUGUGUCUACCUACAAGUGUCUCAAUUAUUGUUUUAGAUUUAACCAGGCUUUGUUUGUUUGUUUAUUUACAGGAAGUGAUACAUAUACAAAUUGACAUAGGAAAAUGCCACUUGUAUAAUAUUCUAGCUAGUAUUUUCAUCUGCUGUUGUCUGAAUUCCCCCAAAGUGGUUAACUUCAAAAUGCAAACUUAAAGCAUGAAAAAAAUAAACAGUAAUCUGAAAUAAAAUACACAUUUGAAGAGCUUAUUCUUUUACCCUAUCAGAUGGUAAAAUGUUUGGCCAGAUAUGUAGAAUAAGUUUUCUAAUAUGAUAUUUAAUCAGUGUACUAUCUUAUUUUGGGUUAAAUUAAUAUAAUUAUACUAUUUAUUUGGAAUGAGAUAGAUGGAAUUCAGAAUUCAGAAUAGAAGACCAAAUAUAAUUAGGUCCCAGUGAACUCCCAACAUAAUUUUCUCUAACAGUCGCACAUGAAAAGAAAAACCAAGGCAAUAUAAUGCUUGUUUUCCUGAAAUACCAUCCGUUAUUUUGUUUGAGUUAAGCUCAGUGCUCUAAAGGUUAUGGAUACUGUGCAGUAAUUAGUACCAUUAUGGGGAAUGUUCUUACUUCUAUGUAUUGGAUUUCCCCAGUUUUACAAUGAUAUAAUUCCAAAUUGGUCCUUUGUCAGAGGUGUAACUAAAUUUCUUUCUUGUUCUAAAAUAUAGGCAACACAUAUUGUGGUAUCAAUUUGCUUGUUCUGGAAUGCAAAUAAAAUAGAAGCUUGUUUUGUAUAUUUUCUAGAUAAUUGUUGUUUUCUAUAUACCACAUAUAUAGAGACUUUGAAGAAAGUGGUUAUCAAAUUAUUAAAUAUCUAUAAAUUCUAUUAAUUUCUCUAGCUGAGAGAAAUGUUCUCUUUUUAACUAUAAGAGAAUUAGAUUCCCUUCCUCAAAGAGAGGCCAACAAAUUUCAAAUAUUUUUACAUACUGUAUAAAUAUAAAUGAAUCUUUGUACACCAUUUCCCUCCCUGUAGAGCAAGGCUUAAAUACUCUUUUGGAACAGUUGUGCAGAAAUAUUUAAUUGCAUGGCAUGUGGUUAUGGAUAUUUUAUAUACAGGCUAUCUCUAUCUCUUAACUUACAACUAAAAUGACAAAUUUAAGAUUCAUAUGUCUCAAGUAUUGUUCUUAUAAUAUUAAAAACAUUACACUUGAAAUAGUAAAAAAAGAAAAUAAAUGGUGUUUAUAUUAGACCAAAGCAAGUCAAAAUUAGGGCUUUUAUCCUGACUACGAAUUCCAAUAAAGUAGAGAGUAUUUGCAAAUUCACAAGACUCUGUAGGGUAGAGCAGUGAUCUGGCCAUGAACUUCAUCAGAGUCAGUGCUAUGUCAUUGGGCUCUCUGGUCAGUGUCAGAGAUUGCCACCUGGUCAAUUCAUCUGUUGGCAAUAAUGAUAAUAACAUUAAAUGUAUACACAGUAUGUACUGAGUACUUUACAUAAAUUAACUCAUUUAAUUACGACAACAAACUCCUUAUGGUAGUUACCAUUAUUGUCUCCAUUUCACAGGUGAGGAAAUUGAAGAAAGAUACUCAGUGGUCCUGAGGAACUCAGUGGCAUAUCCAAAUGCAGGCAAGAUAAGGCCUUAAGAUGAGUCUGUGCUACUAGGCCCUACCCAGAAAAGGCAGUCAGCAGUUGAGAUUUGCCUUGUGAUUGUCUUAAAGGGCAAACUUCAUAAAGAAAGACCAAUGCACAAGUAAAGGCUUGGGCUCUAUAAUAAUAAUAGCAAGCCCUCAGAUGGAACUUGCUGUCUGUCAGGCACUUUACAUAUAGCAAUUUAUUUAAUCUUCAUAACACCCCUAAGAGAUAAAUAUUCUUUCUAUUUCAUUUUACUGUUAUGGAAAUUGACACAUAAAGAGAUUGAGUAACUUGCCUAUGAAUGCUGUAAUGACAAAGGCAGGCUUUGAACUCAGGCAGUCUCAUGCUAGAGUCCAUAUUCUUUGCCAUUAUGGGAUAUCGUGUCAUAUUUGGGGAACUUAAGAUCUUAAGUAAUUUAUUAAGGUUUAGGAGAAAGAAGAGGAAAUAUAGAAAAUGCCUUUUAAAAUUAAAAUUCAAAAAAUGAGAAAAAUAUAUCAAAAAAGUAUUAAUGACAGUAAUAAAUGAACAUGCUAUAAUUGAGUCUAUAUUUGUGCUCCUGUUUUAGUUAGUACUUUUUUUGGGUUAGAUCGUCUCCACACUUCUGCACUAAUUUAUAUUUGAAGUCCUGUCCUCUGUUGCUUUAGAUUAUGACCUCAUUUGGAGAAAAGGGCUUUACAGAGGUAAUUAUGCUAAAGCGAGUUCAUGUGGGUGGGCCCUAAUCCACUGACUGGUGUGCUUACAAAACCAGGAAAUUUGGUCACGGGCAAGUAUAGAAGGAAGGCAACGUGAAGAGACAUAGAUAGAAGAAGGCCGUCUAUAAGCCAAAGACAGUGGCCUGGAGCAGAUCUUUCCCUCACAGCCCUCAGAAGGAAUCAACCUUACUGACGUUAUUUCAGACUUCCAGCCUCCAGAACUGGAAGACAACACAUUUCUGUUCUUUAAGCCACCAUGUUUAUGAUACUUUAUUGUGGCAACUCUAGCAAACGAAUACAGUAUUCUUGGAUGAAAAUUAGCAGAAAAUAAUUUCAAACAGCUUAGCCAAAAAUUCUGAUUGAAUGGAAGGAUACUGGGACACCUCAUAGAUUUUUAAAAGUUUGAAUAAUCAACCUUUAGUAUGCAGAGACUGGAGAACAUCAGGAUCUCAGGCCACAGCCUCAAGUCUCUCUCAUUCUCUCUCUGUCUCACAGGUUCUCUCAUUCUUCUCUUUCUCUUCCAGAUGGUCUGAUAUGGUUUGGCUGUCUGCCCUCACCCAAACCUCAUGUUGAAUUGUAAUCCCCAGUGUUGGGGGAGGGACCUGGUGAGAGGUGAUUGGAGCAUAGGGGCAGAUUUUCCCCUUUCUUUUCUUGUGAUAGUGAGUGCUCAUGAGAUCUUGUUGUUUAAUGGUGUGCAGCGCUUCUGCCUUAGCUCUCUCUGUCUUGUUGCCAUGUGAAGAUGUGUUUGCUUCCCCUUCACCUUCUGCCAUGAUUGCAAAUUUCCUGAGGCCUCCCCAUCCAUGCUUCCUAUACAGCAUGUGGAACUGUAAGUCAAUUAAACCUCUUUUCUUUAGAAACUAUCCAGUCUCAGGUAGUUCUUUAUAGCAAUGUAAGAAUGGACUAAUACACGAUCUUUUGUCACUUUUUUACUCAUGACUACUUCAAAGGAUAUAGGUCCUCACACACUAUCUAGCACUACCAAGCAAGUUUAAAUCUCAAUUCUAAACUCAUAGGAGGCAGAAUUUGACAGGCUUGACUUAGGUCAAGGUCUAUCCCUAUUCUAGCCAGCUAUGGCCAGAGAAAUAGGGCCAUAUAAGACAAACAUGAAUCUAGGAACAGGACCAUAUUAUGACUUUUAUGGGUCCCAGGCACUUUUGUCUUCAUAGGUCCUAACCUCAUACCCACACACAAAAAGAACCUAAAAAUUAUGUUUUAUCAUUACAUUAAUAUAACAAUAUGUUACUAUAUAGUAAAAUAUUUUCUUUAACAUGAAAGUUUUUUUAUGUAAAAGAAAUUAAGACAUUUUCAUGAGCAUCUUAAGUAUUGUGGACCCUAGGCACUGGGCCAUCUGUGCCUAAUGUGGCUUUUUUGGUGAAGUGGACUUUUUAAAGAAAGAGGGGAUUUAUAUGGAUAGCGGUGUGUUCCUAUUUACUUAUACUUUUGUAAAGCCUUUUCCUCCCACUGUCUUUCUAUGAAACAUUUGUAACUUGUCUUGUUGAUGAUGAUACAAGUAAUACCAAUGCCAGAGAGGAUUUUUUCCUUUUCUGUUCCUCCAUCUCAAUGCCUUUCAUGUUUAUAACUUAAAGUUGUUGACUUCCACUUCCUGAUUACCAUAUGGUGUCAAGGGUAUAGAAUUCCUUAAAUAUUUACUAGGGAAAAGGCCUGGGGUAACCUAUUUAAGCUCCUGGACUAAGUAUUUUUACUAUACUGGAGUAUUUUUUCAAAUCUUUCUCCAAUACACAGUGUUACAUUUUACCACCUAUAUCCAUGAUAAAUUGUCACUGAAGCAUAUGUUACAUUAGUCUAUUUUCAUAAGUAAAAUAAAUCAAGAAGCCUGCUAUCUUCACUGGGAAAUACAUAUAUCUUGCUUUUAAGAUGAUAUUUAAUUGUGGGUCAAAUUGAACAAUGGUAAGGUUUAUUUUCUGUCCUACGGAUGUGUAAGGGACUUCUAAGACAUAUUCAGCUUCCCUAUUAUGUGCCAUUUUUGAGUCCUUUUAUCUGUGCUAACAAUAAUGAUAUAAAGGAAAUAAAGGCAGGAUGGCAAGUCUGCAAUUAUUUACUGAGUUUCAAGUCGAAUAGGUUGGACUAGUGAGUAGACUGAGUAUGAGCAAUACACCUAAGUGACUGUUUUAUGGAACUUUCAAUGGGAUUGCCAUCAUAUGACUUGAAAUACCAAGUGAAGCACACCUUUGGGGAACAAUCACAGUUUUUACAGAGUUGUGGGUUACAGAAGUAGCAAUAGUUUUAUAAGAAAUUGGUUGGCUUAUUUUGAGAUAUCAAAUCAAAAUAAGGCUCUCCAAAAUGCCACUGCAGCUACACACUGGAGCCUUUGCCACUGAUAGUGGCUAUUGGUUUCUUAGUGCCAUUUGAAGCUGUGCACACAAAUGUGUACUAUAUUCACCCUGAGAACUGCCAUUUUUAAGAGCAAAGAAUCACCUUCUAUAUCACUCAAAUAGGUGUAAUAUGGAGCAGAAUUAUUACUGCUUAGGGCUCUUUCAAUCUGGAAACAUGGUAGCUAUGAUGAUUCAUUUUAUGUGUCAACUUGACUAGGCCACAGAGUGUGUAGAUUUUAGGUCAGACAUUAUUUUGGGUGUGUCUGUGAGGGUGUUUUUGGAUGAGAUUGACAUUUGAAUUGGUGGACUGAGUAAAGCAGAUUGUUUUCCACAAUGUUGGUGGCCCCACCCCAAUCAAUUGAAGGCAUACAUAGAACAAGGCCUGAUCUUCCCAGGAGCAAGAGGGAACUCCUUAUGUAUGACUGUUUUGAUCUGGGAUAUUGCUCUUUCCAUUCUUCAGACUUGAAUUGAAACAUUGGCUCUUCUUGGGUUUAGAACCUGUAGCAUAUAAUAUUGGCUUUCCCGGUUCUCAGGCCUUUGGACUCAGACUGGAACUUAACCUUGGAUCUCCUGGGUGUUUACUUAUCCGACUGCAGAUCUUGGGACUCACUAGCUUCCAUAAUCCCUGGGCCAAUUCCUUAUAAUGAAUGUACCUAUCUAUACAAACAUCUUGUUGGUUCUGUUUUUCUGUAGAUCCCUGACUAAUAUAAUAGGUACACUCAAAGCAAAGCUUAGUCUAAGUUUUUUCUUUGUAACACAUCAAAUAUUUACCUGUCAUAAUUUGGCCCAAGUGAACAUAACAUGUUAUAGGCUCUCGAAAGGAUUUAUUACCUGGACAAAAGGUGAAAUAGUAGAGUUAAAACUUCCAUGAUCAGGAACCAUUUCAGAACAGAAGUCUUUGUUGCAGCUUGGCCAUCCUAUUUUGAAACUCGACUAGUUUAGAUCUUUCCAACUAGUGAGCAGUAGCAUACUUCUGUGUGGUGACUGGACUACCAUGAAAAGUUGAACAUUAAAUGGCAGAGGAAGGCAUGUGGGGAGGGUGGGGAAGAGACUGUGGAGGUGCCCUGAGGGCCUCCACCAGAAGUGGUAUCCUCCCUUGUCUGUUCUCUAGAAGUGGGCAUGGUUCAGCCACCCAGGCACCAUUGUGUGGCACUCCACCCCACAAAGAUGAACUCGUUAAUCAAUGUGAAGCUAGCCCUGAAGCUGAAUAAAAGGCAGGCUGAUAUUGCAGUGGCUCCUAAAGCAUCCCGUCCUCUGUGUACAAGGACAGCUCCUGGAUGUUCCUGGGAGGGCUUUGUUAUGAACUGACUGAAGGUGAUGUCAUCUGUGUAGCCUCUCAAUAAGGGGAGAUAUAUUAACAUUAAUCUUGUACAGGACAGGAAGUCAGGAAUGCGUCCAAAGUAUUCUGUUUUACCUGCUAUGAGGACCAGAGGAGUACCAUUUUGGCCAUUGACAAUUUUAAUGGAAUCAAGAUCAAGGGAAGAACUAUUCGAGUUGAUCAAGAAUGAAAUUACCAACUUCCUGCCUCUCUCCCUUGCCUGACCCAGAGGACUUGAAUGAUGCCACAAGACAGCUCUGGGAGAAGGGUUGUGGGGCCCAGAGUCCCUCACCUAGUUCAUCUGAAGGCUCCAGUGAUGAAGCACUCUCACAACAGCACAGCUGAGAAAAACGGGGAAAAAAAAAACACCAAAGAGAAGAUCAUCAUUUGAGUUAAAGACAAGGAGGGACAGAGAAGUCAUCAUACACUCUGCCUGCCAGAGACCAGAUGAAAAAUGAUAAGGAUGCACGAAGCUGCAAUAAACACACCAAGGUGGAAUUAGAGUCCAGAUAGGGGCUGAAGCCCUAACCAAGUUGUCCUGUGUCCAGGACAGCAGCUGCAGACCACAGCUUCCUGUGAACACAGCAGGACCUAGAGAAGGGGGUGAGAGGAAGGAGAGUCAGGAUUCUGAGCCCAGUACUUUGGCGGUGGCAGGGUAAGAGGAGAAGAGCAAGGAUAGGGACACAUUUCAGUUGAUUUGAAAGCAUAGCCACACAAAUUCUCCAACCCCAGGGACCAUAGGCCAGACCAGGCUUCAGCCUGCUCAGAUCCUCAGAUUUUAAAACAAAGUGUGGUAUUUAAAAUGCAAUGGGAUGGAACUUGUGAUUUUGUAAUUUCUGUAAAUAAAAUAUCUGGGGCAGAAUUUCCUUAAAUUGAAAUCUGUUUUUUUUUUUACGACUACUUAAGAAUUUACAAUAGUUGAAAUUCCAUUAAAGAGUUUAUAUUGCAUCUUUUAUAAACUCUCUGAAAUUCUGAUGCCUAAGGUUUUCUUUUCUUUCUUUCUUUUUUUUUUUUUUUUUUUUGAGAUGGAGUCUCACUCUGUUGCCUAGGUGCAAUCUUGGCUCACUACAACCUCCGCCUCCUGGGUUCAAGCGAUUCUCGUGCCUCAGCCUUCCUCAGUGGCUGGGAUUACAGGCAUCUGCCAUCACGCCCAGCUAAUUUUUGUAUUUUUAGUAGAGAUGGGGGUUCCACCAUGUUGGCCAGGCUGGGCUCGAACUCCUGGCCUCAGAUGACCCAUCUGCCUUGGCCUCCCAAAGUGCUGGGAUUACAGGUCUGAGCCAUCGUGCCUGGCCUAAGAUUUUAAGAGCAGUGACCUAUAGUAGUUCACAUGUAAUCACUCCUCUCCCAUAGUAUUCUGCUUAAGUAUUACUAUUUUCAAUGUAACAGGGCAUGCAAAAGGUGGGAAGUACUGGACUAGAUAAUCUCUACAGUUUUUAAUUUAGUUCUAAGCUUCUUAGGCCAUGAGGGGAGGAUGUCAGCCAGCAUAGUGGGAAAAUACUGCUAUCAUAUGAUUUAAGUAAGGACUAAAAAAUAUUUAGGCUCCUGCUCUUGUAUUAUUUUAUAGAUCGAUAAUAAUACAAGAUUUAUUGUUUUUGCUUUUUCCACUGUAACUUUAGCUAAUGAUAAAAUCAAAGGCAAAGUAUAUUUCUGUGGAAAGUAGUAUCAGUUGAGAUACAUGACAAAUCAUGGCAGAUUAAAAAGAUAAUAUCUCUGGCUGGGUGCAGUGGCUCACUCCUGUAAUCCCAGCACUUUGGGUGGAUCACUUGAGGCCAGGAGUUCGAGACCAGCUUGGCCAACAUGGUGAAACCCUGUCUCUACUAAAAAUACAAAAAUUAGCUGGGUGUGGUGGCAGGCACCUGUAAUCCCAGCUACUCAGGAGGUUGAGGCAGGAGAGUUGCUUGAAUCUGGGAGGUUGAGGUUGCAGUGAGGCGAGAUCAUACCAUUGCACUCCAGCCUGGGCAACAGAGCGAGACUCCAUCUCAAAAAUAAAAAAUAAAAAGAGAGUAUCUCUGAUAACACAUUCCUUCUAUUCUUCUCUUUAUAUAUCUUUAACUAUAUAUAGAUAUAUAUAAAAUAUAUAUAAAAUCUAAGAAAGCGCAAUAUUUUAU